CUAUUCUAUUCUAUUCUAUUCUAUUCUAUUCUAUUCUACUCUACUCUACUCUACUCUACUCCGAAAGACACCUUGUCCCAGUUGGUUAAGGGAUAGGGGGAAUCUUUUUCUCUUAUUUUUUUGCCCCCUUGUCCCUACAUUCAACUCUGCCUUCAUAUCUGGUGAAUAAACACAGCUUUCACAGCUCAACCUAUUCCUUCCAUGGCACCGAAAUACACAUGGACACGAUAGGUUGACGCUGAGAAAAGUUUGAUGAUUUACAGAGACUCAUUAAUCCUCCGGGAACUUUCCCUUAGACAGAGCACCCUUGCCUGGAGAGAGUUAAGUAGGACAGGAAAACACCCCCCCUUCCCAAUUCCUCUCCUAUUUAACAGACUCCGAAGCUUUGUGGCUUGCGUUUCAGACUAAACCUUUCCUUGACAUUUAAGACAGCUGUGCGAGGGCAAAGUUGGAGAGCGGCAAGAAUACGCUGAGAUUUGCGCUGGUGCUUUCUUGGCCUAACUCCAAAAUAAAUGUUAAGAAAAUGGGCUGCAACGGGGAGGCCGGGUGACCAGAGAAGAGGGAGAGGAAAGUUAAAGGGAAAAACAGCUUGGAAGAAGGAGGGAGGGACAGGGGAAAGAAGAAAAAAAAAAAACCCCCACUCUGAUGAAAAACACAUAAGAGCCUCUGCUUUGAACUUGGGUGGAAAUCAUUUUUUAUUUUUUUUAGUACUGUGUUUUAGCCUCGCAAAGCUAAGGGGGCUCUGGGUGAACGUCAAGUCAAGUUUUUAAACAUUUGGGAUGCUGCUAAAGUGCCAAGAACAAAUAGAAGCUUCUAGCCCCAUCGGGGUGAGGUCAUUAAAGCAACAGCUUUCAACAUCUGCUAAGAGCUGUCUCCUUCAGGUCCACUGCUGAAGAAUUGCGGGACACUUUGCUCCUCUCCCCUGCUCGACUUCCCAAUUCAGUCUAGUUUUGUGGGUUCCCCCAUCUAAAUAGGAAUCAAAUCCAACCUGGAUUAGCUUUUCAAGAUUGGAUAAGGUCAGAUGGAAGCUGUUACUGGCCGGGUAUCAACGUCAAAUCCUUGAAGGUCUAUCCCUUCUAACAAUGGCAACAUCUAACUAAGAGUGGAGCUUUCCUUGGGGUGUCCCCACUGGGGAAUAUUCCCUCAUCUGAGGCAGCCAUGUCUUUGGGCCGUGCGCGAUUAGUCUGGCCCAAAGCUUUCUUGUCUUCAUGAUUUUAUCCCAGUCAAGAAGCCCUUCCCUUCAGAAGGGGUUGCCCAGACUUUCUUUUGGAGCAGAGAUUUUAAAAUCGCAAAGGGAUAUGUCUUGCUUUCCUAAGGUGGCUUAGAAAUAUUUCAGAUAGAUAGGCAGACAGACAGGCAGGCAGACAGACAUAAUGGAUGAAUGGACGGAUAGAAAGAAUGAAGGAGAUGGAUGGAUAUGAUGGAUGGAUGGAAUAGGCAAGCGACAGACUGAGAGUUAUACAGGACGGAUGGAUUGAUGGAUGGCUGAAUAGAUAUAUAGAAUGAACAGGUAGAUGAAUGGAAGGAUAGGACGGAUGGAAUGGAUAGACAGACAAAUAUAAUGGAUGGAUGGAUGGAUGAAUAGACAGAAUGAUUGGAUAGGUGGAUGGAUGGAUGGAUGGAUAAACAGGAUGGAUGGAUGACAAUAGUCAUAGUUUCCCACUUUGGUUUUCCAACACAACCCUCCAACAGUACAAUCCAGAGAAGACCUCACUACUGAGAAGGUGCAAGGACCUUGGAGAUCACCCAGUUCAAGCCUUGACCAGUUCAAGAAUAUCUGAUAGCAACAUCCCCAACUUAGGACCAUCCAGUUUCAACAUCCAGCAGAAACGGAGUCAUGGAGGAUGGGGAAGAAGACAAACAAAGAAAAAGAAAAAAAACCAGUCGCCCUCAGUUCCAGGAUAAACAACCCCCCUCCCUCUCAAGAGCAGAACCUGCCUCUCCCCCGUCCUCCCAAAGCUGACAAAUUAAUUGCUCCAAUCCCUGGGUCACUGAAUCAUGCCUGAACGUCAGCCAUCCUUUACCUCAGACCCUGGAGCCUGUCCCAGAACCAAUCUUUAAAAGUUUAUUUUACUGAUCAAAGCAAUAAUAUUAUGGGGUUUUUAAAAAAAGGAAAGCAAAGGGCAGGCUAAGGAGCUGGGGGGUUGAGAGAGAGAGAGAGAGAGAGAGAGAGAAAGAGAGAGGAAAGAGAGAGAGAGAGAGAGAAGGGGGAAGAAAAAGCUUUGCGUCUGACUAUAUUUAGUGGAACUAUUCAAGUAAGUGAGGACUUGGCAACGGCUGCAGGGAAGAUUGUGAAGUUAUAAGCAAUGAGAUGCUUAUCCUGGAGAGAGGCCAGGGAGGGCUACGAAAUGAGCUAUUCAGAGUUGGCAUUUGAGGAUGGGAGAGGAGAGGAGGGAAGGGGGGUGGGUCUUUAAGCAAAAGUUGCUGCAGAACCUUUGGGUUCUGCAGGAAUUCCUGGGGGAAAAUGCAGAGAUGUGGCGAAGCUUUAUCCUCUCCACCUACUGAAUACAUAAAUCCAUUGUGGCACAAUGUAAUAUGUAUCAUCGGGCUACACCUGUGGACACUUCAUAGCGGCUGCCAUGUCUCUGCCGUCAGGAAUGAUGAGUGAAACUCCCCCCCCCCGUGAAUGUUAAUGAUAGUGAUCAUUUCUCAGAACCGAAGAAGGCAAGAAUCUUCUCGGGGGACAAACAGCCAAGAAUAUUUGUGGCGUUCGAAGCAUGGAAGAGCUUAGUGUCGGCAUAGGCAUAACAAAGUUGUCGGAGUGCUGGUUACUGAAGGCUCCUGUCUGAGGCAGGACUGCACGGUUUGGAGCCCAGUGUUUCCUGAAGGCCAGCUCUUUCGAGCAAAAGCCGCAUUUGAGGUCUCUCGCUUCCUUCUUGGGAACCAGACUUUGUGAUUUAACACUGACCAGGUUCGUACGCUGUGUUACUCCGCCACAUUUGACUGUGAUGUACUAAAAAAAUAAAUAAAACAUUGAUGGUCUAGUUCAGGGGUAGGCAACCCUGGCUCUUUUAUGACGUGUGUGUUUCAGUAUGAAUCCUGCCUGUAUAAGUUAAGUGGAUAUUCCAAAAUAAAUGGAUUAAUUAAAAACGG